rnacentral:rRNA from 1 species
GUAGGUGGCAAGCGUUGUCCGGAAUUAUUGGGCGUAAAGCGCGCGCAGGCGGUUCUUUAAGUCUGAUGUGAAAGCCCACGGCUCAACCGUGGAGGGUCAUUGGAAACUGGAGAACUUGAGUACAGAAGAGGAAAGCGGAAUUCCACGUGUAGCGGUGAAAUGCGUAGAGAUGUGGAGGAACACCAGUGGCGAAGGCGGCUUUCUGGUCUGUAACUGACGCUGAGGCGCGAAAGCGUGGGGAGCAAACAGGGAUUAGAUACCCUGGUAGUCCACGCCGUAAACGAUGAGUGCUAAGUGUAGGGGGUUUCCGCCCCCUUAGUGCUGCAGCUAACGCAUUAAGCACUCGCCUGGGGAGUCGGCCGCAAGGCUG